rnacentral:rRNA from 1 species
UACGUAGGGUGCGAGCGUUAAUCGGAAUUACUGGGCGUAAAGCGUGCGCAGGCGGCUAUGCAAGACAGAUGUGAAAUCCCCGGGCUCAACCUGGGAACUGCAUUUGUGACUGCAUGGCUAGAGUACGGCAGAGGGGGAUGGAAUUCCGCGUGUAGCAGUGAAAUGCGUAGAUAUGCGGAGGAACACCGAUGGCGAAGGCAAUCCCCUGGGCCUGUACUGACGCUCAUGCGCGAAAGCGUGGGGAGCAAACAGG